CUAUUCUACGCUGCUUGUUCAGCCGCGCGGUCGCCGAUGCGUAAAGACACGUCCUUCGACGUUAAUAACAACGAUAAUAAUAUCACAAUCGCAAAAAUGCCGAGAGAGAACUGCGUGGCAUCGUUUUCUGGAAUUUUACACGACACUCGAACAUCCACCGCGUUUUCAUUCUAAUCUUAUGGAUUUUUCUGCAAAGAACGCGCUAAUUAACGAAUGGCCGACGGUGUCGCCACCAAAGAAUGCUGUGGGAAUGAAACAGGGUGGCCAACAUAGGAUCGUAAAUGAGAUCAGAAAAAUCAGGUAUACCAAGAUAUUUGUCGACGUUUUGACGAUAGUUUGUUAUUCGAAAGUAACAAAGUUCUGAGGUUCCCAUUUCGAGCGCAUCGUAUGCAAAGAGGUACAAAGUGUGAAUAAUGAAAAGUAUUUUCCAAAGCGACGUGUGUGUUCCCGUGAGCGUGCGGAUUGUUUCGUAUUUCUCGUCACGAGUCUGACCGCGGGAAGAGACAAAAGAAAAAUGAAAAUGAAGGAAACGAAAGGAGCAAGUGGAACAAGACGAUUCACGACGGACAAACGACAAAAGAACUGAUGUAUUGUAGACAAGAAGAUAAGGGUAAGGAAUAAUAAAAAGAAAUAGAAGAAUCUAAUGCCGCUGGUGUAUACAGAGGACAGGAACACGACAGGACAGGCGGACAAAGAGUAAAAAGGAAGCUGGAAGCACGGAUACAAAGAAUGUUUUCAGAUAUUUUAUAUAUUUUAUAUAUUAUAUUUUUCUAUAAAAAUGGAAGCAUAUUUUUAAUCCUCGAUGUGAAAAUUAUGCUAAAAAAUUAAUUAGUAAUUUAUAACACGAUAAUUCGACAAGAAUUAUAUUUGAAAGAAUUAUGCACUGCUCCAUUAUCCACAUUAUCAAGAUCUAUGUUGUUGUACGGAAGAUGAAUUCCCUAUUCUAAAGGGUUAAUGUAUUCCGACCAUCACAAUGGCACAUAAACGUCACAUCAAACGGUCAGUGACAGGUCGGUAAGAACCGGCAGAGUCGCAAGGAACAAAGUAAUCCGGAGGUUGUCUGUUCGAAACAGAAGAAUUCACCUGACUGACUUCGUGACCCUUAAGUCAAGUCAUAGAGAGAGAGCAGACCCGGAUUUCCCAUUAGGCUAAUCAUCAAGCCACGGGCGCACGAUCUUGAAACAUAUAUCUAAUCUUCGUGAAUAUACGAUUAAGGCAAAAUUGCCAACAUUUUGGCCUUUGAAAUAAGUUCACGCUGCUGUUUCUAGAUGCUUUCCUAUCUAUUUUUAAUAAACAGGUGACAUAUAUAUAAAUUUUGUGAUUAUCUUCUACGAUGGACAGUAUUUGAUGUUGUAACAGAUUAUCGUGAUGCAAAAAGGAGAGCAGGAAUAGUCGGAUCAGGAACAAAGACGAAUAAUCGCUUCUAAUAUAAUAAUAGCCGAUGCGUGCAUCGGCCUGCGGCUAUUUUUUUAUAUACUGUUCGGUCCGUCCUAACUUUAAACGCCGGAAGCAGGAGCAACGCGCUGGAACCCUAAUAGUUCGUUGAAAAAGAAGCCUAAGGCUUCGAUGAGCCUCUCGUAGGUCAAGAUUCUAAUAAAUCUCCGCAAAUAAUCUCGAAUGGCGAUAGUAACUCCCUCUACAUACUUCUAAUCCUUGACACUUUAACAAGAAACAAUAUAUCAAACGUUAUUACCCACGAUAAAUAUUCCUUACAUAAGAAGUGCCGUAAAUUAAAAUCUUCUGAACAAUUUGUUGUUAAUAAUAAACAAAACGAAAUGGAGGAAAUAAUUCUAAAGGUAUGAGGAGUAUUGAAAUAACAUCGUCUCGAAUGUUAACCUCAUUUUUGGAAAGAUUAUUUGGAAAUCGAAAAAACUACUUCUACAGGUUAGGAUGACGUGGUCAUGGGAGGUUAGCCGGAGGUUACUUCGAAGCUCAUCGACUCGCUAUUGGCAAAUCGCGACUUGGAAGAGCCAGCGGCGGCUUCGUGUCCCCUGGCAAGGAAAAGAAACCGAUAUUGAUGAAGGAAGAGAGGAGAACAACUUUCACGCGACCACGAGGCUUCUUCGUAUCGGAAUGCAUCCGUGCCCUGUGUGUCUCCCCGAGGGAAAGAAGAUCCCUUAGCCGUUUUAAUUGCAAAUUUCUCCUGCCUGAUCUUCUUGCAAAUUGUUCAACGGAACCAGUCAAACCAUUACCAUUAAGGGCUCCUGUGAUCAACACUGAAUUUCUAACGAAGAUCAUCUAUUCUUUGAAAAUAAUUUUUAUUUUUUUUUUCUUUUUUUUUAAGUUACAUAACAGUUUUUUUUUUGUUCGAUUCAGGUAUAAUGGUAGAUAUGGAUUGUACAUCGAAUGAAAAAGAGGUUAUGUUAAAGAGAUCUUUGUUGCAAAAGCCGACUCUUGAACGAGAUGUAAUGAACUUCAAUUAUGACGCUGCCGCGUUUCCAUGGGACUGAGACCGCGCAAUAAGCUUUGAAAGUAACUAGUAAAGAAGCCAAGUGAUUCAGUCGUUGAUAUUGUGCGCGGAGAUGCAGAAAACUUUAUGAUGCAAGAACAAAAAGUAUACAAAUCUUCUGAAGAAAGAUUAAUUAUUUAAAAUUUCACAAAAAAAAUUGCAUGUCGUAAAAUAUGAGAACGAUUAACUUAAUUAUUCUCCAAUUAUAUUUUGGCGUAAGUAAUAAGUAGGGAGAAGAUAAUUGUGACGAUUAUUCGACGUCAAAUUGAAUCGACAAGUUCAUGGUCACGGCAGCUCCACUGCCAUGAGCCCGAGAAAAGAGAAACAGGUACCGAAAACGGUACCGGACACGAACAGUGCAUACGGCAGGUGGAUGACGCAAGCGGGAUGACUUUACUCGUGGUUAUCCCUUCCCAAAAGUAAAAUUUCUUUCUCCCAGAGGGACUUUACAGCUGACAUCUCGUAUCUUUUUAUCUUCCAACUCCCUCAUUUGCCAGUCUCUGAUGUCAGCUUUCAAUAGACAGAUAUAUAUGUUGUACAACCAUACACCUUUACACACAAAUUAUUUUGCGUUUCAAUAUAUACAUUUAAAUUAAGAUGAUAUUACUUAUAUUUGCAAUGUUGUAACUUAAUCGUGAUUAGAUUACAUUUUUACAAUUAAUCGAUUUUACAUUUUAUUCUAUUGUCGUUGAUACAAGUAUCGUAAAUAAUUCAAGAUAAAAAUAUGAAAAAAAUACGAAAGCUGGAAAUCUAUUAAUAGAUUUUUCCAAGUCGGAUUAAGUCAGAUUAACAUCGAUGGCGACACACUGAUCGAAUAUCGCGCACCAUGUCUCCCAGAAUUUAUUGUUUCGCUAUCGAGCCGUCCACGAUCUACUUUGAUAAUUACGUACCGUGUAAAACGAUAUUAAAGGGAUAGCGUUUCACGAGCGUAGCAGGUGAUAAGUAGGUUGCUACCCCAUGAAUUUAUGCGAACUUCGUGAGCCACGUUCUUACUACGUUAUUAAUCGCGUGUACGUGUAUUGCGCUUGGUGAAUGAUCGAUCUGUCGGCCGAUCAUUGAUCACCAUAACCCAUCCGUUCGAUGAUACGAUUCGAGAAAUCAGGCCUCGUUCCGGUUUCUUUCAAUGUUCCCGCGGUAUCUGUUAUCGAUCACCUUGGCCAAUUACGUGUAUCGGCACAAUUUCUCGUUAAUGAUGGAUAUUGAUUUUCAAUAAACAAAAAACAAUGAAAAAUGCAAAAUAAAAUAAAAAAAAAUAAAUUACUUAUAUAAUUAUUAUACGAUAACACAUUUGCAAAAGAAAAAAUAGAAUAACGUGUAAUAAAUAAUUCUUUGAUUUUUCAUAUAUUUUCUCGCAAAUGUGACGACAUGGCUGUACACGUCAACCAACCAUACAGCAAGAAAAUCCCCAUGACCCAUAUGUUACUAUUCACUUAGAACCAAAUCUAUUUCUCGAUCACCCGGUAUAUAGAUAUGAUUAACCUUUCAGCGCCGUUAGCUCGUUCGGGUUGUGUAUUCGCUUCGAUCAAUGGUGCCACCGAGCGCAACACACGAAUCGCAGAAACGAACAUGGAAAAAUCACGGCGAUUAUUCCGAGGAUUAUGUUAGGUCGUUGACUCCGCGAGCUCUUCCGGUAAAUAUCCUUCCUGAUAGUGCCUGUGUGUAAUCGAUAGAAUAAUUCGACUGUGUGCUUCUCACGAUGGUAAAAUAUUCAUUCCCAUAGCAAUAAAAUGUCCGCGCGUAAUAAGAAAUAACAAUUUAAGGGACGAGUUUUGUGAAAGGGUUAGCUGCGAGCAGAUCGUUUUCAACAAGCUUUUCAAACCAGUAUUCAUUGGUUUUUUACUAUUUGGGAUACGAAUAAGAUACGUAAUCGCCUAUAUAGAAGUCGAUUAUCUAUAAACGUAAGAAAGUAAUUUCGCAAUGCAAUUAGAGUUGGAAAUAAUUAUGCGAGAAUUCAAAAUUGAAAUUGAACGUGUAACAGUUGAAUGAUAAUCGGAAAUAAGAAUUUAAAGCAAGCAAAAUGAAAGAAAAGUGGGGAAAAAAGAGGAAUAUCAAUCAACUUUAUGCAUUCUACGCAUAACCUCUACGAAAAUUAAUAAACAAUAUUUUACCACGAAGAGAAUAUCACGUACAUGUACAAUAGCAAACAUAUAUAUAUAUAUAUUAGCCGAAUACUUAACAGUGUUCUUCCCCUUGCUAUGAAACUGAAAAUUGCUUUUUAGCUUCUCUCUUCUUCCUUACAUUAGAUUUCAAACACGCUUCUUACGUAGCCUUCUGUCGUAAUAUCUACAAUCUGCGCGCAUUAAAAUGAUCUACAGGGAUACGUAGAACCAUACCUUACCGUUAUUUCAACUUUAACCGAAAUGUGUCACAGGCCCUUAUUCCCAGUCCCCUUAUUCAAUUACGUUAAUCCCGAUGCGCACUGUACAAACAUUUAUCGCACAGUGUAUUAAAUCCACAAUGGAAUCGUUAUCCUUAAACCCAUCACGGGCUAAAACAAGAUAAAUCGUGCGAUUUAUUUCAACGGGGGAUCAAGGGGUUAGCGUGUAUCACAGCCUCGAAACUCGAAGCUCGCGUAGGUGCAUCGUGCAAAGCGCCAAGCGCAGAUAUUUCAAUAGCGCAACCAGCGCGAACGAAUAUACACGGUCGUGUUGCCCACAGGCUUCGUUGCGGCACAGAAACCUUUCUCUCUCGUCUCCUCGAACGCAUCUACGUGCCACGGUAUCUAUCGUGUACAUGUAUAUGCGAUCAAGUGCGAUUAAUUGAUGCACGUAAUGACGCGUUUAAACGAUCGACGAGAUGCAUAGGAUAAUCAAUCUGACGCCUCGUUCGCUUCCUCGAUUCCUCAAAAAUAAUGAUGAUGACUACGUACGCUAUCCUCUUAAAUUGAUAAAUUAUCCAACUGGAUAAGAGAGAAAGCUUGUGCCAAGAUGGAAGCUGUGAGAUGAUCUGAAAUGAGUCUCUUUUCUUUGGAAGUCAAGAUGUAAUUAGAAACUUGGUUUGUUUAAAAAGUAUAAUGGUUAAUGAUGUGAUUUAUCUUGCAUGAUAUUUAAGAAAAAAGAAUUAUGAAAAAUAGCAAAAUUCUGGUAUCCUCUUAAACGAAUUGAUAAAUUAUCCAAUUUGAUAAGAGAAAUAAAACUUGUGCCAAGCUGAUCCAACAAGUCUUUUUUCUUUGGAAGUUAAGAUAUAAUUAGAAACUUGGUUCGUUUAAAAAGUAGAAUGAAAAAAAUUUUUUGAAAAAUAGUAAAAUUCUGGUAUCCUCUUUUAAACGAAUUGAUAAAUUAUUCAACUUGAUAAAAGAGAAAGCUUGUGCCAAUAUGGAAGCUGUGAGAUGAUCCAAUGAAUCUCAUUUCUUUGGAAAUCAAGAUGUAAUUAGAAACUUGGUUCGUUUAAAAAGUACAAUGGUUAAUGAUCUUGUGUGAUAUAUAAGAAAAAAGAAUUAUGAAAAAUAAUAAAAUUCUGAGUGUUCAUAAACUGCGACCCAGUAAAACUAAUAAAUCUGUGAAUACGCUUAAUUAAUGCGCCAAGGCGGAAUAACGCGGCUAAAUGAUCAACGAUGCGCGGAGUUAAUGACGCUAAUGAGACAGUUUUAGCCAUAUAAUCUAAUUUCAUAGAAAUCAUACGUGUCAAGGGUAAAAUUUUUGAGAGUUUUGGAAAGCGGAGGAAAUGGCACGCAUCGCAAUUGCGUUGAUGAUGGUAAUGCUUCAAGAAGGAAGAGACACGCGACGCGCAGGAAACGAGGAAACGUCUCUGGUGAAAGCUUUUUAGACGGAAGGAACAAAGGAGACGAGGCAAUAAUGGGCGAAAUGCCGCAGCGUUCACCGCACCGUACGAUUCUGAUCUGCAUCUGCCCGGUUAUUACCCCCUAAAUUACGCAUUGCCAGAGAAAUUUCAUACGUUGUGGCAACUUAAUGUCAUUAUUCCGAAGUACAAACCUCCUUCUCACGGAAGAAUACCACUGAUAAUGUGAUUGUAAAACACUCCAAAACGGGUAACAAGUUACGUCCUAUUGAAACGCCACUCUGACAGAUUGAUUUUUUUUUUUAAAAUUAUAAAAUCAUUAUUGAUUACCAGAAAUGUAAUAAUAAGGGAAAGGUUCUAUUUAAAAUGAAUUUUGUAAAUGCAAAUUAAAAAAAAAAAAAAGAAAUAUCAAUACAAGCAGUGUUGAUAGUCAACAAGAUCAACACAAUUUGAUUUUUCUUUUUUUUUUUAAAGUGGCGUUUCUUUAAGGCUAAAAGAGGAGAAGAAGACGAAGAAUUUUUUUUUACAUUGCGAUAAAAAACUAUAGCUUCGAAUUUUAUCUGUAACGAGUUACACAGUUAUUCGCCACAUGUAUGACAAUGAAAUAAUAAUAGGAGGUGUUGUUGCGUGACAGGUCCGAUCGUUCCGAUUAAGUUUUAACACGGAACGCGUUAGAAAUCGCGCGUUGCCGAUCAGGUGCCCACAACCUUGGCCGUAUUACGAUUUUAUUUUAUUCCGAUCCGUUGAAAAGAAUGGAGACACGGUUAAUCGCACGUAAUUGUACGCGGAUGCGUAGAUUAUUCGUAAUACGUAAUUAAGAGGAUGCAUGAGCCAACGCGCGUGUUACGAUCCGUGCGUUUCAGAGAGAAGAGAAAGGAUUUUACUUGAUAAAACGAGCGGACCGCAAAAGGAGGCUGGCUUUAUUGGCAAGCAACCGCUCUCACGGUCGGUAAAAACGACCCGCUCUCGCUUUACAAUACGAUGAAUAAUUGAUUUGCAGUUUCACUCUUUCGUCGAUUACGUAACAAUAAGGGAGGAUAAUUUAAUUACUUGUGGAUAAUCGUAGCAACGACCGGUGGCGUUUAGAUCGUCCCGUGAAAACAAAAAUGGCAAACUUUCACUCACCGAUACCUCAGAUUUUUGUUGCCAUUUUUUACUUUUUUCUUUUAUACAUAAAAUAUAAAAAAGAGAGAAAUUUUAUGAUUACAUUACUUGUUAUUCAAAAAAUAGAGAUAAAGAUUUUUCAACAAUUGGAAAAUUAAAUUGUCAACAAGUAGCUAUAGUUUAUAAAAAUUCUCUCUUAAAAAAAAAAAGAAGAAAAACCUUCAAAGUUUCACUCUCUCAAUAGAAUCAUGUUGAAUAAUAUUUUAGAAAAAUGUUUAGAUUAGUCUAGAUUAUAGUUUCGUAUCGCAAUUCAAUUUGGAGGAACGAAUUGCACCGCGACUUUUUUUACCCACUUUAGUACUUGACACAAUAACGUGACGGAAAUCGUCACACCAGCAAUAAAAUAAAGUCGUGCUUUACGCCUUUUAAACCGGC